rnacentral:lncRNA from 1 species
GCUGCUCCCGGAACACCGCUCCUGGAGCGAUUGUUUCAAUGUUGCUUGCUCGGAAUGGCCCUCCUGAGCAAACAACAGACGGUGCUCAAAGUAACAACUGGACUUAAUAAAAGGAGCUUACACGAAGGAGGAGCUGAAGGCUGCUGUGGUCGUGUGCUGGGGGCUGCCCCAGCUCCAGCUGCAGGACCCCGGCCGUCUGCCUUCCGACUCCGGUGAUGAUUCUUCCUGCGGUCUGAUCAAGAUUCUAUGCAGUUAACUUUGUAUCCAAGGAUCUAUAGCCAAGAAAUUUGGAGCUCAGUUUCAAACGCAAGUAUUCUGGGUCCAAAUUUUCUGCCUUUUCCCUUAAAACAACUGAAUUUUAUUUUAUUGGGAAACAGAAAUACAGAAUUCAAGAGUUAUUAGAUAUUAUAAAAUCUAACACUCUAAGUUAACAUACAAGGAGACAUAGCGUUUCAAUGACAAAUGUCAUACAUAAAACUGCUUCAUAUCAGAGGCAGAAAGAGAGCUUGCUUUUCCUGUAGUUUCUGUAACACAGAGCUGUCCAGCUCAUUCUAUGUAUGAAAUUGAUAUAUAAUCAAGACAGAUUUCCCAUCCCAUAAAUUUUAUGCCACUUGAUUGUGUCUUUGUUAUUUGUUAGCAGCAGUUUAUGUGAGAGAAUAUUUUGGAGCCAAUUCAAAUCUGCCAUUAAUUAUUUCACUGAAUAUUAAGAAAAUUGAGAUUAUAGUAUUUAGCUAGGAGAUAUGAACAUGUUUUUUUCUCUUGUUGUCUAAAUCAUAAAUACCCUCAUUUAAUCAUCUUCAUUUAAAAGGGGGAUUUGGACUAGAAACUAUAAUUGGAAGCCUGUGGCCCAGGAGAGCUUAGCCUAUUUAUUAAAAGUAUCACUGCGUAUUCAGAGUUAUAAAACUGAGUUCUAAGGAGGCCUAAUAUUCUGCAGCUGGGAGUGGAAGGGCAAAAGGUGAAUUGUAUUUUUUAAGCCUGUCACUUUGAAAACUCCCUGCUUCAAAACUCAAUGCAUUUCCAGGAUUGUCGACUUCACAGCAGCAGUGAAGCGGGAGAUGCAAAGGCAUCUUUGGAAGCAGCUACAUGUAGAAGUGCUUAAUAUCUCCCCAGGCUUGUGAGAACUUGUUUAUCUGGCAGGUAUUUCCAAGCACUCUCUGUUCUUUGGACAAUGGAGUUGGCAAUCUGGAGACUGUAACUUCAUAAUAGAGAGGCUUUAGGGAGAGAAGCUUCCAUUUAAAUUCAUUUAAAUGGAUAAGUAUUAGAUAACUUCCCUGAAAAAAUGUUAACAUAGUUAUUAAAUAUAUUCAGGUUCCAUUCUGAUCUCAUUCUCUGAACAAUUGAACCCCUUUUCACUGGGCAUUAUGCUGCAAUUUUAUGGUAGGUUAAAUGAUACCAAGUGCAUUGAAGUUAUUCUUAAAAUGCCUCUCAGUAUUUCUUAUAUAGUACUGAAUAGUUCAUCGAUGAAUAAAAUCUCUAUUUUCCAGCCAUUUUUGAAAUAGCACAUGGCACAUAACUGAAAAAGCCCACGUGGCUAACCUAUAUUCUGGGUACCAUUACAUCACAAUUGAAUUCUGUUGUGAUUUUAGUCAAAGCCCUUAACUUCAUAAAUAUAUCACAAAAAGCCUGUAUCAAGGCCAUUGGUCAUUGCUGCUUGCAAGAAAUAGAGACACAUGUGAAGUAGGAAAAAAAGGCUUGUUUAGUGACAAUAGAGAAGACAAUAACAAUACAAAAUUAUUUUAGAUUUAGCUGGGCUUCAUGGAGAUUGAUUCAAUUGAGGAUUUAAAGGUCUGAAAAUGAAAUCAUUUAUGAAUUAAGAUGCUUAUAACCACACAGAAAUUAUAUGCCCAAGUACUAUGGCUAGAAUAAAUAAGGAUAUUUUUUAUCUAACAUACCAAAAAA